rnacentral:rRNA from 1 species
AGAGUUUGAUCCUGGCUCAGAACGAACGCUGGCGGCGUGGAUAAGACAUGCAAGUCGAGCGGGAUUUCUUUUGGUAGCAAUACCGAGAGAAAUUCAGCGGCGAACGGGUGCGUAACACGUGGGCAAUCUGUCUUAAAGUGGGGGGUAGCUCGGCGAAAGCCGAAUUAAUACCGCAUGUGAUCAGAGGCGACAUCGCUUCGAAAUCAAGGGUGGCGCAAGCUACCGCUUUUUGAGGGGCCCGCGGCCUAUCAGCUUGUUGGUGAGGUAACGGCUCACCAAGGCGAUGACGGGUAGCUGGUCUGAGAGGACGACCAGUCACACUGGGACUGAGACACGGCCCAGACACCUACGGGUGGCAGCAGUCGAGAAUUUUUGACAAUGGGGGAAACCCUGAUCGAGCGACGCCGCGUGGAGGAUGAAGGUCUUCGGGUUGUAAACUCCUGUCAUUUGGGAACAAGGCGCACGUAUUAACUGUGCGUGCGUUGAUAGUACCAGAAGAGGAAGGGACGGCUAACUCUGUGCCAGCAGCCGCGGUAAUACAGAGGUCCCAAGCGUUGUUCAGAUUCAUUGGGCGUAAAGGGUGUGUAGGUGGCGCGCUAAGUCGGGUGUGAAAUUUCGGAGCUUAACUCCGAAACUGCAUUCGAUACUGGCGUGCUUGAGGACUGGAGAGGAGACUGGAAUUUACGGUGUAGCAGUGAAAUGCGUAGAUAUCGUAAGGAAGACCAGUGGCGAAGGCGGGUCUCUGGACAGUUCCUGACGCUGAGACACGAAGGCCAGGGGAGCAAACGGGAUUAGAUACCCNNGUAGUCC